GUCACUUCAAGAUCAUUUUUCUGUAAUCAUUUGCUGCGCGAGGACGUUUCAACUAUACUUACACUUUAAAUGUUAAUGUAUUGUGGACACGUAAAAUAAUUCGUUAAUGAAACGUCGAGUAGGUGUGUGAUGAUAACAUAAUUUUUUGGUGCAUAAUGAAAACGAAAUUCAAUUGAAAACAAAGUUUAAUAGAAAAAAGUAAAAAUUUUAGUGGUGCCGUGUUCAACGCGUAUAAUACAAAAUCACCGAAUAUUGUUAAGGCUGUGUGCAUUGUGUAUGAACACAGUUUGAAUUGAAAUUUAAGCGCUUUUGGUUUUUCCAUAUAUGUCCUUACACAAAUAUAUGAAAGUCGAAGAAAAUACCGCCGCUCCAGAAAUGGAGCCAAGCGGUGGACAUGGACUACCGUCAACAGAUUCCAGUCAACAAUUGAUGACUGAUUCGGUGUCGCUAGACUCAAAUGGGUCAAGGCGACGAACAUCAAGACAGUAUGCCGGUUUUGGUGGCAUUUCUGCGACCGAAUGGUUCACAGUGUUAGUGUUAUGUUUCGUUAAUUUAAUUAAUUACAUGGACCGAUUUACCAUCGCUGGUGUGUUAAAUGAUAUCCAAGAAGAAUUUAAAAUUGGUGACGACGCCGGUGGUUUACUCCAAACAGCAUUCGUGCUGUCGUACAUGGUAUGCGCUCCAAUAUUCGGCUACCUUGGCGACCGUUAUUCACGAAAGUGGAUAAUGAUUUUGGGCGUUGCGUUGUGGAGCGGAACAACGAUGUUGGGCUCAAUCAUGCCCACAUAUUACCCGUUUUUGACAUUUCGUGCAUUGGUUGGAAUCGGCGAAGCGUCGUACAGCACGAUAGCACCAACACUGAUAUCCGAUUUGUUCAUCAACGAUGUUCGAUCGAAAAUGUUGGCAAUGUUUUAUUUUGCAAUACCGGUCGGCUCUGGGCUGGGAUACAUUGUCGGUUCCGAAACGGCUCAUGCGUUGGGCUCGUGGCGAUGGGCACUGAGAGUGACGCCGUUCUUGGGUGUAGCUGCAUGUGUUUUAAUUUAUCUAACCAAGGAGCCGAAUCGCGGUCAAAUCGAAGGUUCCUGUAACUUAGAAGCAACUUCAUAUAAGGAAGAUGUCAGAGAAUUAGCAAGAAAUCCGUCAUUUAUGCUGUCCACGUUUGGUUUUACAUGCGUGGCAUUCGUGACUGGAGCACUAGCCUGGUGGGGACCUUCGUUUAUGUUGCUCGGUCUGAAAAUGCAUCCAGGGAACGAGAAUAUGACGUUGAAUGAAGUAGCAUUCAUUUUCGGUGCUCUAACCAUGCUAUCCGGAAUAAUUGGUGUUCCGCUGGGUGCCUAUUUAGCCCAAAGACUACGGAAAAAACAUUCACGUGCCGAUCCCGUUAUUUGUGGAUUUGGUCUUUUGAUUAGUGCUCCAUGUAUUGUCGGAGCAAUGCUACUUGUGUCAGUAAAUGCACCAGCUGCUUAUUGUUUAAUAUUUAUCGGAGAAAUUGCGUUAAAUCUGAAUUGGGCAAUUGUCGCUGAUAUUUUAUUGUAUGUAGUCAUACCAACAAGACGUUCGACGGCCGAAGCUUUCCAGAUAUUAAUAUCGCAUACAUUCGGAGAUGCUGGCAGUCCGUAUUUGGUCGGAGUAAUAUCUGAAGCGAUAAAAGCCGCAAUGAGACGAUUACCCACAAACGCAGAAGAUGUAGCACCGAAAAUUGAAAGCCUGGCCCUGACACUGAACCAGAAUGCUACACUCACCGAAUACAAAGUAUUUGUGGACACAAAUGAGACACGGUUCAAAGCUCUGCAGUAUGCCUUAUUUUCAACGUGUUUCGUUGAAAUACUUGGCGGUGUUUUCUUUUUGUGCACAGCAGCGUAUAUAUUAAGGGACAAAGCCAAAGCGGAACGAGCAGUUGCAGGAAUGCGAGUGAAAGUUGUUUAGUCGUUCGUCAGUAUUGGCAGUACGUAGUUGUGUUUCUUGUGAUUAGAUUUGUUCUUUCUUUCGACCCGAUUUGGUAUUGUGACAAGUCUGAGAAUGUUACUCGAGAGAGUCAAAUAACAGAAACAAAUACCGAAACACAUCAAUCGCCGCCAGUGAUCGAGAACGAAUCAUCAUAAUAAUCAGUGAAAUGUCGAUGCCAUCCAUCCAUAUUUUUUUUUGUAAUUUAAUUAAAAAUUAUGAUUUAAGGAAACACACAGCAUCAUUAAUUUAUGGAAAAAGAAAAUUUGAAAUUUUGAAAAAUGAAAUUGAAAUUUUAUUCAGAGUUAAAUAGAGAACAGGAAAAAAAGACGAAUGAGGAUGAUGAAUAUAAAAUAGAAUUUAAGGAGUGAAUACCAUCUAAUACCAACUAAGGGACAACCAUUUUAUUUCAUUUUUCCGUUUUAUUUAUCAAUUGUUUUUUUUAAACAAAAUUUUGUUUUGUUUUUCCUCGAAGAGAUUGGGGAUUGCAUGGGCUUGGGGUGUGUGUAGAUAAUGUAAAAUAUUUUGUAAAAGUUGCCAUGGUAAUUAGUGGCAUGAAUGUAUAUGAUGGAUCAUAAAUCAUUAUGAAAGAAGACGAUUGCGUCGCAAACAUAAAACAACAGCAGAUGACGUAUCUGUGGGAGAUGUGAUGGAAAAUGGGGGGAUACGAAGGUGUUACAACCGCUUUAAACCAUUUUCCAUUAUAAUCCCAUAAAUUCGUACGCUAUUCUACUCAACAAAACAAAACAACGUUUGACGUCUUAGUUAACUCCACGGACUAUUUCUGAGCAAAAAUUUUCCCAUAUUUUCCCGAAUUUUCCUACAUUUUCCCAAAAAUAUUUUGUUGAGAAAAUUAAAGGAAAAUAGAAGAAAAUUCAAUAAAAUAUGGAAAAAUCUUUCGCUGGUUAUCUCCACAGGAGAUAAGGUAAUGCGUUGAGUAAAAUGAAUUAACGCAAUGAGAUAGAUUCGUUUGAACGUGUUUUAACUGGAUAAUGUGAUCUCUCAUUUAAAUGGUUCAAUGCAAAAGGAAACAUCUUUUAAGUGAGAAAAUUUCAAGCGGAUCAUUUUGAAAGAAUUGCAACGAAAAUGACGCUUUCUUGUAAUUUUUUUGGUCUUGCCAUAUGAGACCCAUCAUUCUCAAAACUCGUUCAAACGUAUCGUCCAUUGGAAUGAUAAACAAUCAUUUUUUUACAUAACAAGGAGUGACAAAAUUGAAAAGUUCAGUUUCUGUGUGGAUUCUCUGCGUCGUCUCGAAUGAAUUAAAUACACGAACUAGUGACUUUUCAUCGUUUUAUCCCGGGUUAUGUAAAGAAAUUGUACGUGCUGAAUAUGUUGACAGAUGUGUGAAUGUGUCGCUUGAAACAUGGAAAGGUCCGCUUUCCCUUUCCGGCACGUGAAAAAGAAACAAUUAAUUUUGCGGAAUAAGCACGAGCAGUGUAGUAAUAUGAUCAACAAUUAUUUAUACUGUGACUAAAAUAAAAUAUUCAAAUUUCUAGAGACUGCCUUAAUUUAGUUAAAUGCUUAGUUAGUCAAAAUGAAAAUGGAAAAGAAAAUUUUCCGUCAACUUGUAAAAUUAUUAUAAAUUUAAGAAAUUUCCAACGAUUUUGAAUUCAAAAAAAUCGGCUAAAUCUGAAAGAUUGUUUUACAUAUUGUGUGAACUUAAAGCUUUGCCAGCGAUCCUAGCUUUCUAAACUGAAUCGAAGAUGAGAAUUGCGAAAAAGUUUUUUGUUUUUUUGUUUUUAAGACUAAGACAGUGUUACGAUAUGAUAAUCGGAUGAUGACGAAAAGUCUGUUCAGUCAAUCCGUAUCCGUGGUGAUUAAAAUGAAUUCUUUUAUUUGUCAUUACAAUAUGUUAUGCAACCGAAUUAAUUCAAUGUUCAAGACUGUACGAAAUUAAUGAAUUCAAAAUGAAAAUAAAGAGAAAGAAAAAAUAUUUUUUAUAA